UACAGAGGGUGCGAGCGUUGUUCGGAAUUAUUGGGCGUAAAGCGCAUGUAGGCGGGAUGUUAAGUCGCGUGUGAAAGCCCCAGGCUCAACCUGGGAAGGGCGCGCGAAACUGGCAACCUUGAGUGCUGGAGAGGGUGGCGGAAUUCCCGGUGUAGAGGUGAAAUUCGUAGAUAUCGGGAGGAACACCAGAGGCGAAGGCGGCCCCCUGGACAGAUACUGACGCUGAGACGCGAAAGCGUGGGGAGCAAACAGG
rnacentral:rRNA from 1 species